AACGUAGGAGACGAGCGUUAUCCGGAUUUACUGGGCGUAAAGCGCGUGCAGGCGGUUGGGCAAGUCGUGCGUGAAAGCUCCUGGCUUAACCGGGAGAGGUCGUACGAAACUGCGCAACUGGAGGGCAGGCGAGGGGUGUGGAAUUCCGGGUGUAGUGGUGAAAUGCGUAGAGAUCCGGAGGAACACCAGUGGCGAAGGCGACACGCUGGGCUGCACCUGACACUGAGACGCGACAGCAUGGGGAGCGAACGGG
rnacentral:rRNA from 1 species